CUAACCUACCUUCGAGUGGGGGAUAACUCCGGGAAACCGGAGCUAGUACCGCAUAACAUCGCAAGAUCAAAGCGGCAAUGCGCUUGAAGAGGGGGUCGCGGCUGAUUAGCUAGUUGGUAGGGUAAUGGCCUACCAAGGCUGAGAUCGGUAUCCGGCCUGAGAGGGCGCACGGACACACUGGAACUGAAACACGGUCCAGACUCCUACGGGAGGCAGCAGUGGGGAAUUUUGCGCACUGGGGGAAACCCUGACGCAGCAACGCCGCGUGGAGGAUGAAGUCCCUUGGGAUGUAAACUCCUUUCGACCCGGACGAUACUGACGGUACGGGUGGAAGAAGCACCGGCUAACUCUGUGCCAGCAGCCGCGGUAAUACAGAGGGUGCGAGCGUUGUUCGGAAUUAUUGGGCGUAAAGGGCGCGUAGGCGGUUGGGUAAGUC
rnacentral:rRNA from 1 species